rfam:Schistosoma curassoni strain Dakar, Senegal genome assembly, scaffold: SCTD_scaffold0000013
AUUUAGCUGACGAGUCUCGAAUGGGACGAAACGCGUGUCCUCAAC